rnacentral:rRNA from 1 species
UACGUAGGGUGCAAGCAUUAAUCGGAUUUAUUGGGCGUAAAGGACGCGUAGGCUGAUUUUCAAGUCGAAUGUGAAAUUCCGGGGCUUAACCUCGGAGCUGCAUUCGAAACUGUAAAUCUAGAGGGUAGAAGGAGAAAACGGAAUUCCACAAGUAGCGGUGAAAUGCGUAGAUAUGUGGAAGAACACCUGUGGCGAAGGCGGUUUUCUAUUUUAUUCCUGACGCUGAGGCGUGAAAGCAAGGGGAGCAAACGGG